rnacentral:rRNA from 1 species
GGUGAUAUAUAUCAUAUAUAACUUGAGAAAUCAAGGCUAGUAUAUAAAGAAACUAUUAUGGAUAAUUAGCUAUAUAUUAAAGAAAUAAAUGACUAGAUAAAUCUAGGAUUCUAAGAAAAAUCAAGUAAUAA